CCAUGAAUCACCUGGGGAUCUUGUUAAAACAGAGAUUUGGACUCUGCAGGUGUGGGGUGAGACUCUGCAUCUUAAAACAAGCUCCCAGGAGAUACCAGU
rnacentral:miRNA from 1 species